ACUGUCUCUUUUUAAUUAUUAAUUUAAUUUAAUUUUUAAGUUAAAAAGCUUAAAUUUUAUUAAAGGACGAGAAGACCCUAUAGAGUUUUAUACUUUUAUAUUUAUAAAAUUUAAUUAAAUUUUAUAAAUAUAAAAGUAUUUUAUUGGGGCGAUAAAAAAAUUUAUUAAACUUUUUUAUUAUUAUUACAUUGAUGAGUGAAUUAUUGAUCCUUUAUUU
rnacentral:rRNA from 1 species